rnacentral:rRNA from 1 species
GUCGACAGCCUUGCUACCCUGAACAAGCCCGAUCCCGUCUGAUCUCGGAAGCUAAGCAAGGUCAGGCCUGAUUACUACUUGGAUAGGAGACCACCUAGGAAGACCAGGUGCUGUAGGCG